rnacentral:lncRNA from 1 species
CAAAUCCAGCCCUGCAAGUCUGGAAGGCGUUUGUGCCUGGGGAGUUUAAAAGUGAACUGCAAAGAAAAAAAUUAUGACCCUGCCAUCACUCCUGUGUUACCAUCCACGAAUGCAGAGGUGGAUCCUGCGCUUGCGGAUGAGAAUGCUAGUCCAGGUGUUUCCAAACUUCCCGGGGCAGAUGUCGGGAAUAUAAAGAGCACCGCAGUGCGAGGACAAGCAACAUGUCCAUCACCACAUAAUCUAAGUCCUGAAGUGGAGUGUUUAUUUUCACACAGAAAAGUCACAGUUAAGUGGAGUUUCGCUAUAACAGGAGAGAGCCUACCUGGUUAUUGCUUCCGUCUUCUCAGCCCAGGAACAAUGGCAAGGGCUUUCUUCACCCCUUGCAUUUUAGGGGGUCAUU